GAGAUUCCCCCAGUAGCGGCGAGCGAACGGGGAGCAGCCCAGAGCCUGAAUCAGUGUGUGUGUUAGUGGAAGCGUCUGGAAAGGCGCGCGAUACAGGGUGACAGCCCCGUACACAAAAAUGCACAUAUUGUGAGCUCGAUGAGUAGGGCGGGACACGUGGUAUCCUGUCUGAAUAUGGGGGGACCAUCCUCCAAGGCUAAAUACUCCUGACUGACCGAUAGUGAACCAGUACCGUGAGGGAAAGGCGAAAAGAAC
rnacentral:rRNA from 1 species